UCUGCUCAAUGAUUUUUUAAAUUGCUGUGGUAUUUUAACUAUACGAAGGUAUUGAAAUAAGGCUUUAAAUGGGUGCUAAGAGAAUGGUUUAACGAAGAUAGACUUUUUUCUUUUUUUUAUUAAAAGUUGAUUUAAAAAUGAAGAGGUUUUUAUAGAAAUUUGGGACAAGAAGACCCUAUGAAUUUUGAUAUAAGAUUUUUUAAUUAAAUUUUCUAAUAAAUUUUAAAUUUUUCUUUUAUUUGAUUGGGGUGAUUUUUAAAGAUUCAGAAUCUUUAAAGUUUUAUUAAAUGGAUCCAUUAAUAUUGAUUUGUUGAAUAAAAUACUCUAGGGAUAACAGCGUUAUUAUUUUGGAUAGUUCAUAUAGAUAAAAUAGUUUGCGACCUCGAUGUUGGAUUAAGAUACUCUUGGAGUGUAGAAGCUCAAAAAUAGGAGAAGUUUGCUCAAGCUUUU
rnacentral:rRNA from 1 species